GCGAGUGCACUGUUCCCACGGAUAUCCCCCAAGAAGGUUGUAUGGUGAGAGAGUUUGCUCGCCGAGUUGGAGAGAUCAAAAGAAAUGGUGCAAAGCCUGACAAAAAGUGGCCAACAAUUAGUAGGAAGACGCAACAAGUGAUUGAUGCAGUCAUGGCGUCAAUUCAGCACGGAUUUCAGCCUGUUGAAAUCGUGAAUUAAUCGAUACUUUUGUAUGGUGAAAGUAAGCAUUUGCAUUCUAAAUAAAGAAGAUAAACAUAUGUCUUUCUGAUUCCCACUAUAUGUAAGUAUAUAUCAUGUAAGAUUGUGACUUACUACAUUCACACGAAUAUCAGGUGUCCUUAUACUUUCUCUCUCAGAUUUACACUAUUUCGCUCUAUCUCCAGUCUUAUCUUGCGUUUGCAGUCGCCGUCGGAGUUCCAGAGUCUUCGUCUCUUUCCGUCGGUGAUCAUCUGCAAUGAUUUAUAUUUGGCAACACCGGCAGUCAGCUAGUAAAGAAAUAUUGUAGGUGAUGAUGCUAUUAGAUUGAAAUUAGGCCUUACAAAUUUUACAAUUUUUUUUUCUUUUUCUGGUAAAGAACAUCGAGUUCUAAUGACAUAUUUACGAACCUUUUAAAAUUUUAAAUUACAUAUCAUGAUAUCGAGUUUUGAUGCUUGAUUAUCCAGUUGUGCUGAUUUCUUCUCUUCCAUGUCAUUAACUUAUGCUCUGCUCUAUACUAGGGUUCGUUGAGUGCUUUGUUUUUUUUUUUAUGUUAUUUAAUCAAUUAAACAAUAUAUCAACCAAGUCUCGGCACAAGAAAACAGUCGGUUGAUGUUGUGAAAGCACCUCGAAGUUCAUUUACAUAUCCAGCUCUGCCCUCCGAGCUGCCGCCAUUAACGGAUCCGUGGAGCUUACAGAGUAACGUCGUG
rnacentral:lncRNA from 1 species